UACGUAGGGGGCAAGCGUUGUUCGGAAUUACUGGGCGUAAAGGGCGCGUAGGCGGCACGGCAAGUCGGGAGUGAAAGGCCUGGGCUCAACCGAGGAACUGCUUUCGAGACUGCCGAGCUAGAGUGCGGAAGGGGCAACCGGAAUUCCCAGUGUAGCGGUGAAAUGCGUAGAUAUUGGGAAGAACACCUGAGGCGAAGGCGGGUUGCUGGCCGACACUGACGCUGAGGCGCGAAAGCCAGGGGAGCAAACGGG
rnacentral:rRNA from 1 species